UGCCCUAAGCCAACAGUUGGUCCCAAGCUAAGAAGCAGAUACCUUGCUUGGACUGACUAAACAGGACAUAAACUAUACCCUCAAACCUCUCUGUCACUCUCUUUCUCUCUCUCUCUCUAAAGAAUGGGAAUGACUAUGAGUUUCAUGGAAUUGGGAGGAGGGAAGCCAUCCGCCGAGAUGUUCACUGUUGCAAUGGGAACGGUGGUGUACAAGCAGUUCAUAGAGAAAUAUAUCAGAGAUUUUGAGAUCUUCCACAUCGCCAUUGUUGAUAUUAUCAAGCUGUAUUCAAACAAUGGAAAAAAGCCAAGGAGGAAG